rnacentral:rRNA from 1 species
UCUCUAGUGACCGAUAGUGAACCAGUACCGUGAGGGAAAGGUGAAAAGCACCCCGGAAGGGGAGUGAAAUAGAACCUGAAACCGUGUGCUUACAAGUAGUCAGAGCCCGUUAAUGGGUGAUGGCGUGCCUUUUGUAGAAUGAACCGGCGAGUUACGAUUUGAUGCAAGGUUAAGCAGUAAAUGUGGAGCCGUAGCGAAAGCGAGUCUGAAUAGGGCGUUUAGUAUUUGGUCGUAGACCCGAAACCAGGUGAUCUACCCUUGGUCAGGUUGAAGUUCAGGUAACACUGAAUGGAGGACCGAACCGACUUACGUUGAAAAGUGAGCGGAUGAACUGAGGGUAGCGGAGAAAUUCCAAUCGAACCUGGAGAUAGCUGGUUCUCUCCGAAAUAGCUUUAGGGCUAGCCUCAAGUGAUGAUUAUUGGAGGUAGAGCACUGUUUGGACGAGGGGCCCCUCUCGGGUUACCGAAUUCAGACAAACUCCGAAUGCCAAUUAAUUUAACUUGGGAGUCAGAACAUGGGUGAUAAGGUCCGUGUUCGAAAGGGAAACAGCCCAGACCACCAGCUAAGGUCCCAAAAUAUAUGUUAAGUGGAAAAGGAUGUGGCGUUGCCCAGACAACUAGGAUGUUGGCUUAGAAGCAGCCAUCAUUUAAAGAGUGCGUAAUAGCUCACUAGUCGAGUGACACUGCGCCGAAAAUGUACCGGGGCUAAACAUAUUACCGAAGCUGUGGAUUGUCCUUUGGACAAUGGUAGGAGAGCGUUCUAAGGGCGUUGAAGCAUGAUCGUAAGGACAUGUGGAGCGCUUAGAAGUGAGAAUGCCGGUGUGAGUAGCGAAAGACGGGUGAGAAUCCCGUCCACCGAUUGACUAAGGUUUCCAGAGGAAGGCUCGUCCGCUCUGGGUUAGUCGGGUCCUAAGCUGAGGCCGACAGGCGUAGGCGAUGGAUAACAGGUUGAUAUUCCUGUACCACCUAUAAUCGUUUUAAUCGAUGGGGGGACGCAGUAGGAUAGGCGAAGCGUGCGAUUGGAUUGCACGUCUAAGCAGUAAGGCUGAGUAUUAGGCAAAUCCGGUACUCGUUAAGGCUGAGC